UGCAAGUCGAGCGGAUGAAGGGAGCUUGCUCCUGGAUUCAGCGGCGGACGGGUGAGUAAUGCCUAGGAAUCUGCCUGGUAGUGGGGGAUAACGUCCGGAAACGGGCGCUAAUACCGCAUACGUCCUGAGGGAGAAAGUGGGGGAUCUUCGGACCUCACGCUAUCAGAUGAGCCUAGGUCGGAUUAGCUAGUUGGUGGGGUAAAGGCCUACCAAGGCGACGAUCCGUAACUGGUCUGAGAGGAUGAUCAGUCACACUGGAACUGAGACACGGUCCAGACUCCUACGGGAGGCAGCAGUGGGGAAUAUUGGACAAUGGGCGAAAGCCUGAUCCAGCCAUGCCGCGUGUGUGAAGAAGGUCUUCGGAUUGUAAAGCACUUUAAGUUGGGAGGAAGGGCAGUAAGUUAAUACCUUGCUGUUUUGACGUUACCAACAGAAUAAGCACCGGCUAACUUCGUGCCAGCAGCCGCGGUAAUACGAAGGGUGCAAGCGUUAAUCGGAAUUACUGGGCGUAAAGCGCGCGUAGGUGGUUCAGCAAGUUGGAUGUGAAAUCCCCGGGCUCAACCUGGGAACUGCAUCCAAAACUACUGAGCUAGAGUACGGUAGAGGGUGGUGGAAUUUCCUGUGUAGCGGUGAAAUGCGUAGAUAUAGGAAGGAACACCAGUGGCGAAGGCGACCACCUGGACUGAUACUGACACUGAGGUGCGAAAGCGUGGGGAGCAAAGCAAACAGGAUUAGAUACCCUGGUAGUGCACGCCGUAAACGAUGUCGACUAGCCGUUGGGAUCCUUGAGAUAUUAGUGGCGCAGCUAACGCGAUAAGUCGACCGCCUGGGGAGUACGGCCGCAAGGUUAAAACUCAAAUGAAUUGACGGGGGCCCGCACAAGCGGUGGAGCAUGUGGUUUAAUUAGAAGCAACGCGAAGAACCUUACCUGGCCUUGACAUGCUGAGAACUUUCCAGAGAUGGAUUGGUGCCUUCGGGAACUCAGACACAGGUGCUGCAUGGCUGUCGUCAGCUUGUGUCGUGAGAUGUUGGGUUAAGUCCCGUAACGAGCGCAACCCUUGUCCUUAGUUACCAGCACCUCGGGUGGGCACUCUAAGGAGACUGCCGGUGACAAACCGGAGGAAGGUGGGGAUGACGUCAAGUCAUCAUGGCCCUUACGGCCAGGGCUACACACGUGCUACAAUGGUCGGUACAAAGGGUUGCCAAGCCGCGAGGUGGAGCUAAUCCCAUAAAACCGAUCGUAGUCCGGAUCGCAGUCUGCAACUCGACUGCGUGAAGUCGGAAUCGCUAGUAAUCGUGAAUCAGAAUGUCACGGUGAAUACGUUCCCGGGCCUUGUACACACCGCCCGUCACACCAUGGGAGUGGGUUGCUCCAGAAGUAGCUAGCCUAACCGCAAGGGGGACG
rnacentral:rRNA from 1 species